rnacentral:rRNA from 1 species
UACAGGGGGUGCAAACGUUGCUCGGAAUCAUUGGGCGUAAAGCGCACGUGGGCGGUUCGUUAUGUCGGAUGUGAAAGCCCUUGGCUUAACCGAGGAAGUGCAUCCGAAACUGGCGAGCUAGAGUACGAAAGAGGAUCGCGGAAUUCCCGGUGUAGAGGUGAAAUUCGUAGAUAUCGGGAGGAACACCGGUGGCGAAGGCGGCGAUCUGGGUCGAUACUGACGCUGAGGUGCGAAAGCGUGGGGAGCAAACAGG